rnacentral:misc_RNA from 1 species
GAUGAAGAACGUAGCGAAAUGCGAUACUUGGUGUGAAUUGCAGAAUCCCGUGAACCAUCGAGUCUUUGAACGCAAGUUGCGCCCGAAGCCAUUAGGCCGAGGGCACGCCUGACUGGGCGUCACACGUCGUUGCCCCCCCAUCUACUCCUUCGGGAUUGCGGGGGGCGGAUGAUGGCCUCCCGUGCGCCUAGUCGCGCGGUUGGCAUAAAUGCCAAGUCCUCGGCGACGCACGCCACGACAAUCGGUGGUUGCGAAACCUCGGUUGCCCGUCGUGUGCGGUCGUCGCGCAUCGAGGGCUCGAAAAAAUUGUCGGGCUCCGGCUCGGCUUUCAACGCGACCCCAGGUCAGGCGGGGUUACCCGCUGAAUUUAAGCAUAUCAAUAAGCGGAGGA